rnacentral:rRNA from 1 species
GACGAACGCUGGCGGCGUGCUUAACACAUGCAAGUCGAACGAAGUGGCGAACGGGUGAGUAACGCGUAAUCAACCUGCCCUUCAGAGGGGGACAACAGUUGGAAACGACUGCUAAUACCGCAUACUGAAGGAGGGGAUUGCGUCUGAUUGGCUAGUUGGGGGGUUAACGGCCCACCAAGGCGAUGAUCAGUAGCCGGGCUGGGAGGAUGAACGGCCAAAUUGGGACUGAGAAACGGCCCAGACUCCUACGGGAGGCAGCAGUGGGGAAGCUUCCGCAAUGGACGAAAGUCUGACGGAGCAACGCCGCGUGAGUGAUGACGGCCUUCGGGUUGUAAAGCUCUGUUAAUCGGGACGCGGUAUCUUACCAGAAAGCCACGGCUAACUACGUGCCAGCAGCCGCGGUAAUAC